GGACACAAAGCGACUAAAAAGCCUCAGUGACUGUGUCAUCCUUUUACGAGCAACACGGAUAAAUGGAUAAAUGAUGUCACUUUCCAGACAUUACACACAAUACUUUUACACAUUUCACAAUAUUUUUCCAUGUUUUGGCUUCAUGUCCACAAAAAUGUCCUUUUGGUCACAGACCACUGAUUGCUACUUGAAGGCCAUUCAUCAAGAUCAAAUUUGGAGGUCAAAGAGCGCCUUGCACUAACCACGCCCGGCGGCCACCUGGUGGAACAAAUUCCGGCCAGCGAGGCUUUGAGCUGAUAUAUAUUUCCUUGGCUCAAACAUGAAGGGAUGUGUCGGUAUAAGAAAGAUUUGUGCUAUUUGAUUGGCAGUUGACACAUGAGUGGACUGCAUACAGCAGACGCACCUACAGUGGGGAAACAACGGCUUGAAGAUUUUGAAGCCUCAUUUAAUAUGCUUGGUGAUCCUUCAAAUUUGGAAGGGUUGUUAGCAACACUCUUCUCUGUGGUGUGUCAAAUUCACAAGGCAUUUUGAUUUCUGCUUUACAAAGACUUUAAGCCAGCCCCGAGGAGCAGUGGGCAUCAGUGUCCCACCUCAAAAAAGAUCCAAAUUUAGUAGCAGUAUUUUAGUGAAGGGAGAAUUAGAGUCAACCAAACUCACAUGGUUUGGUUGUGGUGGAAACUGGAGUACCCGGAGAAUGAGGUCAAAUCCAAAGGAGGCUAUAGUGCCAUGCUUUCAUCCGUGUGCACCCAAAUGACAAACACGGCUAAAAGGAAAGCUCACCCUGGAACCUCCACCACCACUCGCCGCCAUUACUGAGCUUGGAUGUGUGUAAGAAGCUCAGUUUCACACACCCUACGGCGCACUUCGUGGCUGGCCUGUUGUAAAGAGCCAGGCAACCGAGCCUGUGAUACGUUGGUGGACCAGGGGUGGGGGAAAUUGCUGAAAAAAGGGUCAACAAAGAGACGGUGAGACAUGAGGGAAGCCAAAAGUAGGAAGUUAAAUGCAGCACGGUAUUCCCCCUGGAGAACAGCCAUCCCACCCUUUUGUAACCAAAUAUAUCAAGCUCAAAACAACACAAAAAUAAGUGAUUCUAAACUCAAUAUAGAACUCUGGAAUCCAACGUCAACAAAAUCCAAAAAGGAGGUGUGCUACUGUGUUUUCAAGUUAGACAGUUUGCGACUGUUUGCUGAUUAACAUCUGCUGUCUGGCAGGGAAAACCUAAAGAGUGCAGACUGCAGAUCUGCUCCUUUCAUCUCUCCUCCCUCGUUUGGGCUGGCUCGCAGAGGGAGAAGGAGCGUCUGCCAUGACUAGGACGAUGGGGUGUGGUGCAGCGGUGAUGACAAACAUUGCAGGCCAAACAGACGGCACAGAAGGAGGCACAGGUAGAUGGACGAGUAACAAAGGAUGGGGCUCACAUUGCACUCACCCCCACUGUUGAUUUCCCUGGAGAUGGUUAGAAAGGGAAGUGAGGGCACACAAAGCAUGAGCUCCAGAAUGAAAGUGUCUUCUUCGGUCUUAAUUGCAGGUGCGCAAAGGAAAUCGAUAACCGUCAGCCACCUUCUUCCACGUGUCCUUUAGCCGCAACGUUCGGCCCUCAUUUUAGGCAUUUCAUACAACCAGGAAGGACAAAGUCACACAAAUGCAUACUCGGGAUGAAGGAUUUUGAAAAUCUCUCUCUCUCUCACUCUCUGUGUAUGAAACAAAGCCUACCGAUGAAAAUGAAGUUGUUUUAUUUUUUUUCCAAAAUUGCAGCGUUUAGAUUUGAAAACUGCAUUCUACUGCAGUGCAUCGUCAAUUUGAAUUCCAUGAGUUGUUCACCCUCAGAGACACUUAAUCGAAAACAAACUCGAAAUAGAAAAGGAUUUCCAAAAAAAUAAAUAAAUAAAUAAAUCGGAUUCUCAAGGAUCGGGACCGACCCUUGCUAUGAAUUACGAAAACAAAAAAAAUUGUAAAUGACAUCCCUUCCUAAAAAUGUUCAUAACUGCCUGUAUG